GCCGGUGAAAACCUCAAUUUUAAAGAAAAUACAGCAGUGUUUUAUGUUCUGACAAGAUGGCUAUACCUUUUGAAGUCAUUGCAAUAUAAACUAUACGUAUCUUGCAGGCAAAAAAUACCAUGAACCAGCCAAAAAAGAAGAAGAUAAACUUUCAAAAUACCAUAAUUAUUUUUCCUCUCAGCUUUUCCAAUUUCACGGUAUAAAUG
rnacentral:lncRNA from 1 species